rnacentral:rRNA from 1 species
UACAGAGGGGGCAAGCGUUAUUCGGAAUUAUUGGGCGUAAAGGGCGCGUAGGCGGCUUGGCAAGUGGAAGGUGAAAUCCCUCGGCUUAACCGAGGAACUGCCGUCCAAACUGCUUUGCUUGAGGCCGGGAGAGGCGAGUGGAAUUCCCAGUGUAGCGGUGAAAUGCGUAGAUAUUGGGAGGAACACCAGUGGCGAAGGCGGCUCGCUGGACCGGUUCUGACGCUGAUGCGCGAAAGCGUGGGGAGCAAACGGG